GUGAAUGUGGCUUAGUGGUAGAGUGCUUGACUAGCAUGCAUGAAGCCCUGGGUUCAAUUCCUCAGCACCACA
rnacentral:tRNA from 1 species